rnacentral:tRNA from 1 species
GCCUGGCUGGCUCACUGGGUAGAGCGUGCGACUCUUAAUCUCAGGGCUGUAAGUUCAAGCCCACGUUGGGUG